CAUGAAAUGAGUUGUGAUUGAAUUAGGAUCGAGUUAGUCCCCUAAACCUCAAAACAUCAUUGACGACAAACGGUGGUAUAGGCGACGACAGCACAUAGUAGAGUGAACGUCAGCACUUGACAGCAGCACACGGUGGUACAGGCGGAGUAGAAGAAUCGUGAACGAGAUAUACAAGAUGGGAGGUACAGGGACAAGCAGGUUUAUGUAUUGUUUGAUAAAAGGCUUCAUAGGGUGGCAAAUGGUGAUGAUGACAGAGAUGGUUGUGGAGUCUGCUUAAAAUAUGCAUAUGCAUGAGAGAGAGAAGACGUAUUGUGUUUGUUGGUUGAUGGGUAGAGUGGAAAACAUAUUGAAGGGGGACCUCCCUAACAAAAAAGAGAGUGAUCAAAGAGAAAAAAAGAGAGGGAUAACAUAAUGAUUCACGUGUGUUGAAACCAGAUGCAGAUGAUGAAACUUUGUUUAAAACUCUAAUUAAG
rnacentral:sRNA from 1 species